UAGACUGUGUUGGUGUGCUCCUACCUCAUUGCCCAUGGGUUUUUCAGCGUUUACGCCAUGUGUGUGGAUACACUCUUCCUCUGCUUCUUGGAGGAUCUGGAGAGGAACGACGGCAGUGCCGAGCGACCGUACCUGAUGUCCGAAAACCUGCUCAAUGUGCUAAAGAAGAAGAACCAGGCCAACUAAUCCACUCUGAUGGCUCAGGUUUAUACAUGUACAGUGUGUUUUCUAGAGCUGGAGAGAAACCAGAAGUGCCUGAAGUCAUUUUCAUUGCCGUUUAUCGUGCCUUUGAGAGCCAUCAUUGUGCCUUUUGAGAGAUUAUCAUAUAAAUUAUGAAAUGCUUUUAAAUGUGGCUGACUAAAUUAAAAACCAGGAAUGAUACCAAAACUAUUUUAGAAGCAGAAAUAAGUGACAAGGCUACUUGUGUAGAAACUGCCACACUUUUUAAAUGCCACUUUAAAGGAAAACUACACUGUAUGGAAAUAGGCUCAUUUUAUCAAGUCUUUUAGAGUUAAACAGUUGAGUUUCACACACUGAAAAUUUUACACACUGCAAUUACACAUUUUUUUUAAAGGUAAGUUUUUGCGAAUAAUUUAUAUAUGGGCUAAAUUUAAACAAAUUGAACUAAUUUGUUUUAAUUCAGCACAUAUAUAAAUUGUUUGCAAUCUUUUCCCUACAGAAAAUGUAGUAAAUCCAGUGAAUAAUUUUUUUAUUGCAAUUGUUUAAUCCAUUCAGUCGAUUUUGGUGUCGCUUAGCUUAGCAUAGUUCAUUCAAUCAGAUUAGACCAUUAGCAUGUCGCUCAAUAUAAAAAAAAAUAAAGAAUUUUUAUUAAUUUUCCUAAAUUAAAAUUGGACUCUUCUGUAGAUACACCGUGUACUAAGACUGGCAGAAAAUGCAAACUUGCUAUUUUCUAGGUCAAUAUGGCUAGGGGUUAUACAUAUGGCGUAAUAUUAGCAACUUUUGCCAUACUUUGGCUGCAGCAGGCACAACAAUAUUAUGUUUUGCUGUUCAAUACUUAGCUGACUGUUUUGAGCUGCAGCAUAAAAUCAUUGUGCUUGCUGAAGCCAAAAUUGUUGAAACAACUUUGUUUUAUUUAUUUAUUUAUUUUCUGAGUGAGUGAGAUGCUAAUGGUCUAAUCUGAUUCAAUGAUCUAUGCUAAGCUAAGCUAAAAGACCCCCAAGAUCGUCUGAAUUCAUCGCAACAAUUUUAUGCUUCGCUGUUCAACACCUAGCUGUCUACUGUUUUCAGGUGCUGCAUGAUAUCAUUGUGACUGCUGCAGCAAAAAUUAUUGAAACACUUUUUUGAGUGAGAUGCUAAUGGUCUAAUUUGAUUCAAUGAUUUAUGCUAAACUCAGCUAAAAGACACCCAAAAUCGGCUAAAUGGAUUGCAAUAUCAUGCUUUGCUGUUCCAUACCUAGCUACUGGUUUGAAGUGCAGCAUAAUAUCAUUGUGCUUGCUGCAGCCAAAAUUGUUGAAACAACUUUGUUUUAUUAUUAUUAUUUUUUUGAGUGAGAUGCUAAUGGUCUUAUUUGAUUUAAUGAUCUAUGCCAAGCUAAACUAAAAGUCGCCCAAGAUUGGCUAAAUGGAUCGCAAUCAUAUUAUGCUUCGCUGUUCAAUACAUAGCUGUAUACUGUUUUCAGAUGCUGGAUAAUAUCAUCGUUCCUGAUGCAGCAAAAAUGAUUGAAACACUUUUUUUUUUUAAAGUGAGAUGCUAAUGGUCUAAUCUGAUUCAGUGAUUUAUGCUAAGCUAAGCUAAAAGUAGACCCGUCAGACCCGGAGAAAGGCAGAAUGGAUGCGAAACUGAUUUAACUCAACUUUUUAAUUGAAGGAGAGUUAGAAAAUUAGCCUUUUUCUUUAAAAGUGUAGUGUUUCCUUAAAGGAUUUUUUUUCCUUAAAUGUUCUGAUUUACAUUUGGAUGUUCAGUUAAUUGUGUUAUGGUGUUCAUAUUUGUUUUUUCUAUAUAAAUGAAAGCGAUGCAGUGUUCACGAUGAGGUUGGACAGGAUUGUAUCAAAGCAUUUUUGUUCAAUAUGUUUGCAGUAUAGAUGGAUAAAAGCUGUUACUGAUUAAAUAUUACACAUCCAAUGUUUAUGAUAUUAGAUUAUCCGUUUGUGUACUGUACAUUAUGAUGAGAAGUGCCUGUUUGUAUGGCUGUUUAAAGAUGUCUUGGCUUUAAUCAUGCUCCUGACUUUAUUUAGUGUUUUAAAUGUUUUGUUACAUGCUGAUAUGUUUCGAUGUUUGGUAAAUAAAAUGUUUUCUACAAUGA